CGCAUUAUUGUGUCUUUCUUGUAAAGCGAUUCAGAUAGAUUAUCAACUAUCUUUUUGAAAUGAUCGAAAUCCAUUCGCAUAAAUUUUUCAAAUCCUGGUGUGUCGUUGGCAGCCAGAUCGGGAAGAAGCUGACCGAAAUAAGCUUUGUUUUUUCUCUCUAGAAGCCAGUGCCGGCUCCAAAUACGUUUCUUUUCUUUAACCCUCCUCGUCAUCUUCUUCCAGCAAAAGCAUUGCAGCUAUGACCACAAGUUCUUUCUUCGACGCCAUCACGCCAUGUUGUUGUCAGUGACGUUUGUGCCCGGUUUUUUCAUGCAAAUAGUUGCGACGCGGCUAAGCUAUCAUUGCUCGUGUCACCACUUCACUCGCGCGAGUAACGCAAUGAAAUUUAACCCGUUGCAAAGGCGUUGCGUUGCCGGCGCGAGAAGAAAAUCGCACGUGUAACUGGAC
rnacentral:lncRNA from 1 species